rnacentral:rRNA from 1 species
CCGUUGCCGGCGACCGGCGCACGGGUGAGUAACACGUAUGCAACCUGCCCGUGGCAGGGGGAUAAGCGGGGGAAACCCCGUCUAAUACCGCGUAACGCGGCCUUGGGGCAUCCCAAGGCCGCCAAAGGGAGCAAUCCCGGUCACGGAUGGGCAUGCGGCGCAUUAGCUAGUCGGCGGGGUAACGGCCCACCGAGGCGACGAUGCGUAGGGGUUCUGAGAGGAAGGCCCCCCACACUGGUACUGAGACACGGACCAGACUCCUACGGAAGGCAGCAG